ACAGCAGUCGCCGCGGGAAUACGGAGGGUGCAAGCGUUAAUCGGAAUUACUGGGCGUAAAGCGCACGCAGGCGGUCUGUCAAGUCAGAUGUGAAAUCCCCGGGCUUAACCUGGGAACUGCAUUUGAAACUGGCAGGCUAGAGUCUUGUAGAGGGGGGUAGAAUUCCAGGUGUAGCGGUGAAAUGCGUAGAGAUCUGGAGGAAUACCGGUGGCGAAGGCGGCCCCCUGGACAAAGACUGACGCUCAGGUGCGAAAGCGUGGGGAGCAAACAGGAUUAGAUACCCCAGUAGUCCCUGUCUCUUAUAC
rnacentral:rRNA from 1 species